rnacentral:rRNA from 1 species
UGGCUCAGAUUGAACGCUGGCGGCAGGCCUAACACAUGCAAGUCGGACGGUAGCACAGAGAGCUUGCUCUCGGGUGACGAGUGGCGGACGGGUGAGUAAUGUCUGGGGAUCUGCCCGAUAGAGGGGGAUAACCACUGGAAACGGUGGCUAAUACCGCAUAACGUCGCAAGACCAAAGAGGGGGACCUUCGGGCCUCUCACUAUCGGAUGAACCCAGAUGGGAUUAGCUAGUAGGCGGGGUAAUGGCCCACCUAGGCGACGAUCCCUAGCUGGUCUGAGAGGAUGACCAGCCACACUGGAACUGAGACACGGUCCAGACUCCUACGGGAGGCAGCAGUGGGGAAUAUUGCACAAUGGGCGCAAGCCUGAUGCAGCCAUGCCGCGUGUAUGAAGAAGGCCUUCGGGUUGUAAAGUACUUUCAGCGGGGAGGAAGGCGAUGCGGUUAAUAACCGCGUCGAUUGACGUUACCCGCAGAAGAAGCACCGGCUAACUCCGUGCCAGCAGCCGCGGUAAUACGGAGGGUGCAAGCGUUAAUCGGAAUUACUGGGCGUAAAGCGCACGCAGGCGGUCUGUUAAGUCAGAUGUGAAAUCCCCGGGCUUAACCUGGGAACUGCAUUUGAAACUGGCAGGCUUGAGUCUUGUAGAGGGGGGUAGAAUUCCA